CAUUAGUGUCCCAACCUAAAACUCUGUUUCUAUCAAACAGGUGUAAUAUCCACAAAGCCAAAGCUGCCGUUCCUGUAGCAAAAACCAUUAUCGACGCAUGAAAUCUACAAGCAGCUAAGGAUCUACAUCCAUGGAGUCCCAUUAUAAAGGAUAGGAACUGACUGCUGAAGAAAGCAUCCCCCGGUCAAGGAUUAUUGGAACUGUUCAAUGGUGGACAGGAAAACAAUUUUAAUCUUCCUGAGCAGGCUCGGCAUCACUCUAUUUCAAGUGAAUUGAAACAAUACAUUGAACACAAUAUGAAAAAGUUGGGGAUACAGAGUUCAUUCUGGAAACUGUUAAUUCAGCGAACCAAAUAUGGACGAUGAAAAUUAAAUAGAGCCUCAAACUGCUGACAAACAUGAAGUAAUUUUCUACACGGUCCAGAAUAUAUAUCAUGAAAAUAAACAGCUGAUUCACAAACCACUAGAAGUUGAUACGGGCCCUUGUUCAUCGACAAGUUUAAAUUCGAGGUACUAUCUAUGCCGAUUCGUAAAGAUAGUACACGUCGUCCGCAGACACUAUAUGAUGGCACCCAAAAAGGCCAAAUUUUCCAAGUCCGUCGGAACAAAUUCGUUGUCUUUAUCCAACACAACCAACUCGAAAAAUUCAACAGACCGAAUUUUAGAAGUAGGCGUCCAUCCAUCCAAUUGUGAAACUGUUGGAACGGCAAAAGAUUAUAAAAGAUACUCCUGCACACAUGUAUCGGAAGAGCAGAACCGAAGAAAAAUUCGCCGGACGUGGAUGCGUAUUUCUGCUUCUAUAUCGUGACCAUGCUGAAGGAAUUAAUUCGAUGCUGGAAAUAAACCGGAUAUUUGUAGGCCAAACACCAACAGAAGGCUGAUCCGAGGUGUUUUUUCUACACCAGAAAAAUCAAUGCGUGGGAC